CGUGGGGAACCUGCCGUAUGCAGGGGGACAACAGUCAGAAAUGACUGCUAAUACCGCAUAAGCACACAAUGCUGCAUGGCAUGGUGUGAAAAGAUUUAUCGGCAUACGAUGGCCCCGCGUCUGAUUAGCCAGUUGGCAGGGUAAUGGCCUACCAAAGCAACGAUCAGUAGCCGGCCUGAGAGGGUGAACGGCCACAUUGGGACUGAGACACGGCCCAAACUCCUACGGAAGGCAGCAG
rnacentral:rRNA from 1 species